AUUGAACGCUGGCGGCAGGCCUAACACAUGCAAGUCGAACGGUAACAGGAAACAGCUUGCUGUUUCGCUGACGAGUGGCGGACGGGUGAGUAAUGUCUGGGAAACUGCCUGAGGGAGGGGGAUAACUCCUGGAAACGGUAGCUAAUACCGCAUAACGUCGCAAGACCAAAGAGGGGGACCUUCGGGCCUCGUGCCAUCGGAUGUGCCCAGAUGGGAUUAGCUAGUAGGUGGGGUAACGGCUCACCUAGGCGACGAUCCCUAGCUGGUCUGAGAGGAUGACCAGCCACACUGGAACUGAGACACGGUCCAGACUCCUACGGGAGGCAGCAGUGGGGAAUAUUGCACAAUGGGCGCAAGCCUGAUGCAGCCAUGCCGCGUGUAUGAAGAAGGCCUUCGGGUUGUAAAGUACUUUCAGCGGGGAGGAAGGGAGUAAAGUUAAUACCUUUGCUCAUUGACGUUACCCGCAGAGGAAGCACCGGCUAACUCCGUGCCAGCAGCCGCAGUAA
rnacentral:rRNA from 1 species